GAUGAACGCUGGCGGCGUGCCUAAUACAUGCAAGUCGAGCGAACGGACGAGAAGCUUGCUUCUCUGAUGUUAGCGGCGGACGGGUGAGUAACAUGUGGAUAACCUACCUAUAAGACUGGGAUAACUUCGGGCAACCGGAGCUAAUACCGGAUAAUAUUUUGAACCGCAUGGUUCAAAAGCGAAAGACGGUCUUGCUUUCACUUAUAGAUGGAUCCGCGCUGCAUUAGCUAGUUGGUAAGGUAACGGCUUACCAAGGCAACGAUGCAUAGCCGACCUGAGAGGGUGAUCGGCCACACUGGAACUGAGACACGGUCCAGACUCCUACGGGAGGCAGCAGUAGGGAAUCUUCCGCGAUGGGCGAAAGCCUGACGGAGCAACGCCGCGUGAGUGAUGAAGGUCUUCGGAUCGUAAAACUCUGUUAUUAGGGAAGAACAUAUGUGUAAGUAACUGUGCACAUCUUGACGGUACCUAAUCAGAAAGCCACGGCUAACUACGUG
rnacentral:rRNA from 1 species